AGCGAACGCUGGCGGCAGGCCUAACACAUGCCAGUCGAACGAACCUUUCGGGGUUAGUGGCGGACGGGUGAGUAACACGUGGGAACGUGCCUUUAGGUUCGGAAUAACUCAGGGAAACUUGUGCUAAUACCGAAUGUGCCCUUCGGGGGAAAGAUUUAUCGCCUUUAGAGCGGCCCGCGUCUGAUUAGCUAGUUGGUUGAGGUAAUGGCUCACCAAGGCGACGAUCAGUAGCUGGUCUGAGAGGAUGAUCAGCCACAUUGGGACUGAGACACGGCCCAAACUCCUACGGGAGGCAGCAGUGGGGAAUCUUGCGCAAUGGGCGAAAGCCUGACGCAGCCAUGCCGCGUGAAUGAUGAAGGUCUUAGGAUUGUAAAAUUCUUUCACCGAGGACGAUAAUGACGGUACCCGGAGAAGAAGCCCCGGCUAACUUCGUG
rnacentral:rRNA from 1 species